GGCAUUGGCACAGGCUGCCCAGGGAGGUGGUGGAGUCCCUGUCCCUGGAGGUGUUCCAGAGCUGUGGAGAUGUGGCACUGAGGGACGUGGUUUAUUGGGCAUGGUGGUGGGUUGACAGUUGGACUAAAUAUCUUAGUUGUUUUUUCCAACCUUAAUGAUCCUAUGAUUCUCUUUUGUUUACCUGGUUGGCUUGCAUGGAAAAGCCCAUUCAAGGACCAUAUCCUGGCCUCACUGUUCUGCUGAUUACAGCACUGCUGCUGCUCACAACACCUGGAAGCAACCUUGCCUCUCUCAAGAGCCCACCUCCACUCAUGAGCUUCUCUGUGCCCUUUGAGUGUUGUUGCAGGCUCUGAUGGCUCCAAAGCAGCUCACAGCCAACACAUGCUAGUGAUGCCAAUGUCCCUGCCCUGUCCAUCAGUGACCCCAGAGUGCACAGAAACCCACCCCAUAGGAAGCGGGAUCGCAGCUGGUGACUGCGGUUUCCCAUGCGGCCGCCGUCCCCGCUGCCAUCGCCUUGUUGAUGGGGCUACAGGCACACCGCGGGUGCCGACGUGGGGAUGAGUUAUCCAGAGCUCUGAGCACAGCAGAGCCGGCGGGGUUCCCAGGGAAGGAAAUCCCAGAGCUUCACGAGCUCCAAAGAAUGGCAGGCAGCAAGGAGCAGGAAGCGCUUGUUAGGAAGGAGCGAGGAAAUGGAGCCUCUGCCCCAACCCAAGCAAACUUUUGAGGACCGGAAAGUGGGAGUAGGAAGGUGUAAAAGUGCUUUGAGCUUUGGCAGGGGAUUGCAGAGGGCAAAGGGUGAAGGGAGAGGGACAAACACCGCCGCAGAACUCAAGGAGGGGGCAGCCCGUGUGUGCGUGCCGUGGAGGGGACUUCACAGUGGAGCUGCUAACUAAAUAAAGAAAGGCUCGUCGCCAUGCCUGUUAGGUUAACUCAGCGGGGAUAUUGCAAAAGCAAAUUCCUCCCAGCAAGUGUAAUUAGGGGGCCGGAAUUCCUCCAGUUCCUUGUCCUUGUUGUGGAUUCUGCUAAAGCCAUCAGGUGAGGGGGAACAAGAAAGUCCAAUGCAAUAACAACCCCCUCCCGGAGAGGCAAGGAUUUCACAUCAAGGCUUGACACUUUUCUCACUGAUUAUUCCAGGGUGGAAAGUACGCGUCAGACAAAACAGUCAGGGUCACAGGGCUGCUUCCCCCAGGGCAGCACGCUCACAUUAGGGGUGGAAAGAAGACAGCGAGGGGUCUGGGCAGGGCACUGUCAGGAUUUGGGAGGUGCCCACAUGCAGGAUCCAGCCCCAUCUGCUUGGCUGAGAAUUUACAGCACUCAGACUGCUACAUCCCAGUGGAUCAUCGGAACUUUGGGAUCCCUGGGCUCAUCAUGGUACCCUGUGCUUACAUGAGGAGGGAAGAUGCUCAUAGGAGCCAGCACGUGAAGAUGUCUCACCUGAUUCUGGGCCACAACAGGACUGCAGCUGGGGUUUCCCUCCAGCUGUGUGGAAUUACACUUAGAGCUGGUCCACGAAGAGCCCACAAGCAGUUGUCCCUGCCUGAGCAUCGCUGGGGCAUGCAGCAUCCCUGCCUGCUGCCCUGACCCCCCCACUGCAAGGAGAGGUCCCAUCCUCUGACCCAGAUGCCUUGUGCCUGUGUAGAGGUUUAUCCAAGAAGUGGAACUGUGGCUGUCCUGCAGCAGUGGCCACAUGAAGCCCUCCUGUCGGUGCACGAGGAGUGCCACCAGUGUGGGAAGAGAUCGCUUCAGGGCGACGGUCACCUCUGCCGGGCCCGAUCCCCAUUCCUUCCGAAUGAGGCAACCCAAGCGUGGGCUUGCAGGGACACCUGGUGGCUGCCAGCCUCACUGCGGGGCAGGAAUGUCCUCGGGGCUGCGUGGGAGCUGCGUGACCGCCCCGUGGGACCUCGGGGAGAAACUGUUGCAGGGUUUGGUUUACGUGCAGCAGUCAGGGCCGGCUGCAAGCAGGCAUCCCUGCAGGGCAGCAGCAGCAACAGAGCCUGUGAGCAGGGAACCGCAAAUCCUCCAGGGGCUGAUGCGGGUGCUUGCCUGCUCUGUUCCUUUAGCAGAGGGAGGUCCCAGGGGCGAAGCAACAACGUCCAGCUGGCAGACCUGGCUCUGGACGCUGCCCAGCCUGUGCCAGUGAAAGCAGGGAACACUGGGUGCAGGACCCAGUGAGAGAAGGAGAGCGGGCAAGUCAGAAUCACUGCCCACGGGACAUCCUCCUCCCCUCUGUGUGCUCCCAAGGAGAGAGCCGGCUGCUUCACGUGCUCUGCCCUCACUCCCCCUGAGGCAGUGCUGUUCCCUUUGCCACGAUGCUCCAGGCGGUUGGCAGGGAUAAAACAAAGAGGAUUUUGCGUCCAGCUGUGUGCUGGAGAUCCAUAUCCUCACUCAGAGAGGUGAGAUUUGUUCAUUUGUGGUAGCAAGUAAUUAAUGUCUCCCCUUUCUCAGCUCUGCUCCACUUUACCGGGACAAUGCUGAGUCCCUCUGCAGCUCUGUCCUGCCAGUUCCUUUUUUUAGAAGCCGUGUUUUAUACAUCCCAAGCAGCAGCCCCAGCACUGAGCUCUGUUAGGAUGCUCGCUCUGGUUCUCUUAUACCCUUUAGCACCAACGUAACUCACCCCUUGGUGACGGUACUUGGUCCUCCAUACCUGAGCUCACAGCUCAACCCUCUUACCUGCUGCUAACACAUGCCAUCUGGAUUUGCUCUUUCAGCACCUCCUCCCCAGUCUGUAGGAUUUCCCAAAGGUGCCAAAGAUCACAAUAAAAGCAUACUGACUUUACCAAAUUGGUGCUGAGCAUCCCCUUCCCUCUCCCUGCUCCAAAUCACAGUUAGGCUGCCCUGUGAGCAGUAAGCAGGAGACCUUCACCCUGGAAGAACGUUUGGGGUGCCACGUUCUCUGGUCAUGAUUCAGCCCAGCAGAACCUCAACCCUUCCAGGUUCAGAACCAGAGAGCAAGAAGUGCCUGG
ensembl:lncRNA